GUGGGGAAUAUUGCACAAUGGGGGAAACCCUGAUGCAGCGACGCCGCGUGAGUGAAGAAGUAUUUCGGUACGUAAAGCUCUAUCAGCAAGGAAGAAAAUGACGGUACUUGACUAAGAAGCCCCGGCUAACUACGUGCCAGCAGCCGCGGUAAUACGUAGGGGGCAAGCGUUAUCCGGAUUUACUGGGUGUAAAGGGAGCGUAGACGGUAUGGUAAGUCAGAUGUGAAAGCCCGGGGCUCAACCCCGGGACUGCAUUUGAAACUAUCAGACUAGAGUGCAGGAGAGGUAAGUGGAAUUCCUAGUGUAGCGGUGAAAUGCGUAGAUAUUAGGAGGAACACCAGUGGCGAAGGCGGCUUACUGGACUGUAACUGACGUUGAGGCUCGAAAGCGUGGGGAGCAAACAGGAUUAGAUACCCGUGUAGUCC
rnacentral:rRNA from 1 species